CGCGAAUCUGGUACCGGGACUUGGGGAGCGAGGGAUGCAACAUGGUGCAUCUGGGAGGCCUGCUAACUGGCUAACUUCUCCGGCGUUCCUCCCGGCCGAGGCGUGGGCACAGAAUAGCGCAGUUUGAAGACAUCAUUUUCCAGUUUUGGAGCCGACUAAUGAACUAGUUCUUAAGUGAAAGGCAUUUAACACGACUGUGCAUCUACAGGUACUAGGUUUCCAAGAUGCCUUUCCAGACUAAAACCCACACAUGUGAGCCGCUGGCCGGACAAACAUCUGGCACCUAACGUGGGGCUGAAAAACAGCAGAGGACAUUUGGAAGAAACACUGCUGGUUUGGAGCUCCAUAGAAGAAGAAAAUAAUUAAAGGAAAUUCAUACCAGAGAAGAGACCUGAAUGGUUUGCACCAAAACACAAACACAAACCAUUGGGAGAGUGAUUGGUGAAGUGAUGGACAUUUACUCGGGCAAAGGCAUGCAUGUAAAAUAGUCCCUAUCUGGAUGGACCUACGCCUGUGGCAGGAAGUUCACUGGUCAAUUACCUGCUGACUGAAGUGGCCUAUUUUCUUCUGACCCCCUGCUUCUCUCUUCCCCUCUCCGCCCUGAAAGCUGUUUGGGCAUAGGGAGGUCUUGACCUGAGGAAACCAUCUUGGGUAACCAAGGCAAGGAAAGGGAAUAUGCAACACCUAGGAGAUUUCAGCAAACAGUAGAAUCAUGCCAACGUAAUCUGUGUUAAAAUGCUUGGAAUGUGGGAGCCGCCGGUGAUGUCUGUUGUCUGUGUGUCUCCAGUAAUCCUUUCUUUUUUAAGUGCAGCAAAGCCAAGCCUGGAAACCAGGCCAAGCGCCUGCCACUUACCUUAAAUUUAUCAGCCACUUUGAGAUUAAAACCCCUGAAAGCUGCUGCACAGUGAAAGCAAGGCCUCCUUCACAUUAAAGGCAAAUCGCAACUCUGG
rnacentral:lncRNA from 1 species